rnacentral:rRNA from 1 species
AUGCUUACUGAAGAAUGGAUUCAGUUCCAUUCUCCACCUACCAGACCCCCGAAAGUGCAGAUCAAUCAGUGGGACUGGGUUAUGUUGAAUUUUGAUGCUUCUUUCAUUGGGGGCUUGGGAACUGGUGGGUGGGGCUGUAUAGCGAGAGAUGCAGCCGGCGAUGUCUUAUAUGCUGCAGCUGGCCUCUUGGUGGAUGUGUCUGAUCCAUUGCAUGCGAAAGCACUUGCUUUAAUUAGAACCAUCAAUUUUGCAGAGAAUUUUGGUAUGGGCCGGGUGAUAUUUAUGACAGAUUGUCUACCUUUGAAGCAAGCCAUAAAUGACAGUAAUGUAGAUCCUUCACAGCUGGGGAGUCCUUUUCAUGAGACCAAGUAUACAGAUAGGUUUCAUUCAAUUUAA